rnacentral:rRNA from 1 species
UACAGAGGUCCCAAGCGUUGUUCGGUUUCAUUGGGCGUAAAGGGUGCGUAGGUGGCGCUGUAAGUCGGGUGUGAAAUUUCGGAGCUUAACUCCGAAACUGCAUUCGAUACUGCGGUGCUUGAGGACUGGAGAGGAGACUGGAAUUCAUGGUGUAGCAGUGAAAUGCGUAGAGAUCAUGAGGAAGACCAGUGGCGAAGGCGGGUCUCUGGACAGUUCCUGACACUGAGGCACGAAGGCCAGGGGAGCAAACGGG